rnacentral:rRNA from 1 species
UGUGUGUUAGUGGAAGCGUCUGGAAAGGCGCGCGAUACAGGGUGACAGCCCCGUACACAAAAAUGCACAUGCUGUGAGCUCGAUGAGUAGGGCGGGACACGUGGUAUCCUGUCUGAAUAUGGGGGGACCAUCCUCCAAGGCUAAAUACUCCUGACUGACCGAUAGUGAACCAGUACCGUGAGGGAAAGGCGAAAAGAACCCCGGCGAGGGGAGUGAAAAAGAACCUGAAACCGUGUACGUACAAGCAGUGGGAGCACGCUUAGGCGUGUGACUGCGUACCUUUUGUAUAAUGGGUCAGCGACUUAUAUUCUGUAGCAAGGUUAACCGAAUAGGGGAGCCGAAGGGAAACCGAGUCUUAACUGGGCGUUAAGUUGCAGGGUAUAGACCCGAAACCCGGUGAUCUAGCCAUGGGCAGGUUGAAGGUUGGGUAACACUAACUGGAGGACCGAACCGACUAAUGUUGAAAAAUUAGCGGAUGACUUGUGGCUGGGGGUGAAAGGCCAAUCAAACCGGGAGAUAGCUGGUUCUCCCCGAAAGCUAUUUAGGUAGCGCCUCGUGAAUUCAUCUCCGGGGGUAGAGCACUGUUUCGGCAAGGGGGUCAUCCCGACUUACCAACCCGAUGCAAACUGCGAAUACCGGAGAAUGUUAUCACGGGAGACACACGGCGGGUGCUAACGUCCGUCGUGAAGAGGGAAACAACCCAGACCGCCAGCUAAGGUCCCAAAGUCAUGGUUAAGUGGGAAACGAUGUGGGAAGGCCCAGACAGCCAGGAUGUUGGCUUAGAAGCAGCCAUCAUUUAAAGAAAGCGUAAUAGCUCACUGGUCGAGUCGGCCUGCGCGGAAGAUGUAACGGGGCUAAACCAUGCACCGAAGCUGCGGCAGCGACGCUGAUGCGUUGUUGGGUAGGGGAGCGUUCUGUAAGCCUGUGAAGGUGUGCUGUGAGGCAUGCUGGAGGUAUCAGAAGUGCGAAUGCUGACAUAAGUAACGAUAAAGCGGGUGAAAAGCCCGCUCGCCGGAAGACCAAGGGUUCCUGUCCAACGUUAAUCGGGGCAGGGUGAGUCGACCCCUAAGGCGAGGCCGAAAGGCGUAGUCGAUGGGAAACAGGUUAAUAUUCCUGUACUUGGUGUUACUGCGAAGGGGGGACGGAGAAGGCUAUGUUGGCCGGGCGACGGUUGUCCCGGUUUAAGCGUGUAGGCUGGUUUUCCAGGCAAAUCCGGAAAACUAAGGCUGAGGCGUGAUGACGAGGCACUACGGUGCUGAAGCAACAAAUGCCCUGCUUCCAGGAAAAGCCUCUAAGCAUCAGGUAACAUCAAAUCGUACCCCAAACCGACACAGGUGGUCAGGUAGAGAAUACCAAGGCGCUUGAGAGAACUCGGGUGAAGGAACUAGGCAAAAUGGUGCCGUAACUUCGGGAGAAGGCACGCUGAUAUGUAGGUGAAGUCCCUCGCGGAUGGAGCUGAAAUCAGUCGAAGAUACCAGCUGGCUGCAACUGUUUAUUAAAAACACAGCACUGUGCAAACACGAAAGUGGACGUAUACGGUGUGACGCCUGCCCGGUGCCGGAAGGUUAAUUGAUGGGGUCAGCGCAAGCGAAGCUCUUGAUCGAAGCCCCGGUAAACGGCGGCCGUAACUAUAACGGUCCUAAGGUAGCGAAAUUCCUUGUCGGGUAAGUUCCGACCUGCACGAAUGGCGUAAUGAUGGCCAGGCUGUCUCCACCCGAGACUCAGUGAAAUUGAACUCGCUGUGAAGAUGCAGUGUACCCGCGGCAAGACGGAAAGACCCCGUGAACCUUUACUAUAGCUUGACACUGAACAUUGAGCCUUGAUGUGUAGGAUAGGUGGGAGGCUUUGAAGUGUGGACGCCAGUCUGCAUGGAGCCGACCUUGAAAUACCACCCUUUAAUGUUUGAUGUUCUAACGUUGACCCGUAAUCCGGGUUGCGGACAGUGUCUGGUGGGUAGUUUGACUGGGGCGGUCUCCUCCUAAAGAGUAACGGAGGAGCACGAAGGUUGGCUAAUCCUGGUCGGACAUCAGGAGGUUAGUGCAAUGGCAUAAGCCAGCUUGACUGCGAGCGUGACGGCGCGAGCAGGUGCGAAAGCAGGUCAUAGUGAUCCGGUGGUUCUGAAUGGAAGGGCCAUCGCUCAACGGAUAAAAGGUACUCCGGGGAUAACAGGCUGAUACCGCCCAAGAGUUCAUAUCGACGGCGGUGUUUGGCACCUCGAUGUCGGCUCAUCACAUCCUGGGGCUGAAGUAGGUCCCAAGGGUAUGGCUGUUCGCCAUUUAAAGUGGUACGCGAGCUGGGUUUAGAACGUCGUGAGACAGUUCGGUCCCUAUCUGCCGUGGGCGCUGGAGAACUGAGGGGGGCUGCUCCUAGUACGAGAGGACCGGAGUGGACGCAUCACUGGUGUUCGGGUUGUCAUGCCAAUGGCACUGCCCGGUAGCUAAAUGCGGAAGAGAUAAGUGCUGAAAGCAUCUAAGCACGAAACUUGCC